AUUAGAUUAAAUAUCGAUACUGGCAGCCCAAAUAAUAAAAUUACGGGAAAUAUAUGCAUGCGCAUACACACAUAUAUAUAAUCACCUAGAUUUCUCAAUGCUCGUAAAUCUGCUGGACCCUUCUCACCUUUUCGUUAAGAAUGUGGAUAGAUCUGUAUGGUAAAGACGUAUGCAAAUCUGGGCAGGAAUCUGGAUCGUUUUAAUUUUGUCUCUUUCAUUUUGUUAGAGGACUGGGAUGGUCUAUUAAUCCUCCCGGAUCCUCUGAGGGAGUGUCCAGCUCCAGAUUUGGCGGAAGCUAUGGCCAAUCACAUUUCCACGUGAUACUGG
rnacentral:lncRNA from 1 species